UUUUACAAAUAUUCAACGAAUGUGAAAUUUGAAAUUUUCAGAAACAGAAAUUCAUAAGCAUUCAACUGGUUAAAUUUAUCAUUAAAAAGUUUUUUAUUAUAAUAAUACUCACAAUUCUUUUUUUAAAGAUGUACGGGAAUUUUAGCAACAGUAUAUUUGUGUUCGUGAUUUUUAUUUCUACAUUUUCAAUAUGCUUGAGUGAAAUUUGCGUGGAUAAACCAGACGGUGUGUAUGAAGCUAACUGCCGGGCUUAUUCUAUAUGUAUUAAUGGCAGGGAGGAGAUUGUUAACUGUGAGUUUGGACAGGCUUUCAAUACAAAAACUAAACAAUGUGAAAGCAAAUGGGAUGUUCCCCC